GAUGAACGCUGGCGGCGUGCCUAAUACAUGCAAGUCGAGCGAACGGACGAGAAGCUUGCUUCUCUGAUGUUAGCGGCGGACGGGUGAGUAACACGUGGAUAACCUACCUAAAAGACUGGGAUAACUUCGGGAAACCGUAGCUAAUACCGGAUAAUAUUUUGAACCGCAUGGUUCAAAAGUGAAAGACGGUCUUGCUGUCACUUAUAGAUGGAUCCGCGCUGCAUUAGCUAGUUGGUAAGGUAACGGCUUACCAAGGCAACGAUGCAUAGCCGACCUGAGAGGGUGAUCGGCCACACUGGAACUGAGACACGGUCCAGACUCCUACGGGAGGCAGCAGUAGGGAAUCUUCCGCAAUGGGCGAAAGCCUGACGGAGCAACGCCGCGUGAGUGAUGAAGGUCUUCGGAUCGUAAAACUCUGUUAUUAGGGAAGAACAUAUGUGUAAGUGACUGUGCACAUCUUGACGGUACCUAAUCAGAAAGCCACGGCUAACUACGUG
rnacentral:rRNA from 1 species